rnacentral:rRNA from 1 species
GACGGAAGGUGCAAGCGUUGCUCGGAAUCACUGGGCGUAAAGGGCGCGUAGGCGGCCUGGCAAGUGGAAGGUGAAAUCCCUCGGCUUAACCGAGGAACUGCCCUCCAAACUGCUUGGCUUGAGUCCGGGAGAGGUGAGUGGAAUUCCCAGUGUAGCGGUGAAAUGCGUAGAUAUUGGGAGGAACACCAGUGGCGAAGGCGGCUCACUGGACCGGAACUGACGCUGAGGCGCGAAAGCGUGGGGAGCAAACGGG